UCAGAACAAUAACUAAAGCAUAGAAGGAAGGCUAAAAUAAGAAUUCAGAAACUAUAAACCGGCUCUCUUCUAGCUUACGACACAAACUAUGAGUGAGAAAAGGACAAAUGAUUCGCUCUUUGCUUCAUUUUUUCCGAGGUUGUCACAACAUGAAAUGUCAUUUGGACCUAUUGGACUCAUUUUAAUUCGGCCAAAUACAUAGUAACAUACAUAAGAAGAUUUUACUUAUAUUUACCGAACUAUUUGACACGGUCGCGUGAACUUUGUUUACGAGUGUCUUGUGUUCAGAUUGUUUUAAGUGAUAAUUUAACAAUAUUUUUCCAAAUAAAUGGAAAGAAACUUUUAUUUAUAUCAAAUAAUUGAGUGUCUCGACUCUGUGACAUUAUGUCUUGUGUGGUAUGGGGCUGCAGCUCACAUUCAGGAAGAAAAGAAAAUAGCCAACAACUUCUGUCGUUUCAUCGAUAUUAAAUCCAAAAGUGUCGACUGGAUUUACAUGAAAAGUCAGUUCAAGAAGACGACAUGAAAAAUUUAAAAGAAAAGCUGAACAAGUCACGCCUCAAGAUCAAACGACUUAAUGAAAAAAAAAGUCAAUGUGACAGGGUGUCACAAAGACAGUUUCUAAACAAAUUGACACUGUUUAGAAAUUAAUAAAUUUGUAUUUAUUGUAAAUAUAAUGUACAUAAUUAAUAACGUGUAAAAUAAAUACUUGCUAAUGAACAGAUUUACGAUCUAAUUUAUAUUUCAUUUUACCUCCUGUUCUUAUUUACUCCUACUCCAACACUCCAGGUUGAUACGAACUGCGCCCAAUAAAGAAUGUAAUGAAUGUUAUAGAUUUGUGUAAGCGACUUAGAUAAAUCUUGACUAAACCUUCCUUUACAAAUACAAAUAUACUUUAUUGCACACAACAUACAAUACUUACAAGUUUUACACGAAAGAUACAGUACACCACCUACCUACCUUUUACUUUCCCUUUCUGUUCUCUUAUGAAUACUUGUAUGCCGUAUUUUUUUUUAAGUAUAAUGCUAUAUCUAGUAGGUACGAGUAUGGUAAUCCUAGUAUUGAAACAGCUUGUAGCCCUAGUAAAGACCGCCAUUUUAUGUUUACAGAGUGGCACGUUUUUUCUGUAGGUAUUUCCAGUCCAUACUCUUUUCUAUGUCUAUGGCGUGAGCCCAUCGGGCCUCUUACCGUCUGUGCGGCUUAGACCCGGCGGUUCCAAUUUGCACGGCACGUCGAUCGACACCAGUGCACGGCGGAUGACAUCAUAAAUAAAUUCGAAUAUUACAAAAUACUUACCGAUGAAACGAUAACAGUUGGCUAUUUUCUUUCCUUCCUGAAUGUGAGCUGCAGCUCCAAACUAAUAUAAACCAGACAAUAUAAUCCAAAAAUGGUUAGAUACUUACCUAUCAGAGACAGAGUCUCCUUUCAUCAAGAAGAAGAUAAUUGCAUCCUACAAAAAGAAAUCUUGUAAAAAAAAUUUAUCGACAUUAAUUGUAAGUAAAUUUAAUUUUAUCGACAUAUUAGUAAAGUGAAACCCAACACUAGGCAAUGAAAAACUUGUGACAACCUACGAAAUUACGAAACAAUUUUUGUAUAUGCGUCUUUGUCUAACAUUACGCCGGUUCCGUAAGAUAAAGUAGAGCAGAAUUAUAGAGUUCUGUUGCUAUUUUA
rnacentral:lncRNA from 1 species